rnacentral:rRNA from 1 species
AUACGGAAGGUGCAAGCGUUAAUCGGAAUUACUGGGCGUAAAGCGUGCGCAGGCGGUUUUGUAAGACAGGCGUGAAAUCCCCGGGCUCAACCUGGGAACUGCGCUUGUGACUGCAAGGCUAGAGUAUGGCAGAGGGGGGUGGAAUUCCACGUGUAGCAGUGAAAUGCGUAGAGAUGUGGAGGAACACCAAUGGCGAAGGCAGCCCCCUGGGCCAAUACUGACGCUCAUGCACGAAAGCGUGGGUAGC